CGCUGGGAAGAGUAGUUCGGCGGAAGAAGGCGAGUUCUCGGAAAGGAGGACGCGGAAGGAGAUCCACGCGCCCGCGCAGAGGCACAAAGCCAGGAGCUCCAUUCUUUCCGCGGCGCUUAGCGGUAAACUUAGACUUUGAAAGAGGCGUUCAACGUGAACACUAACCUCCGUUCGCUCUGCUUCGCCAUCGGUUGGUAAAACGGAUAGAUACUGAAAUCAAAAACAGAAGCUAAUAUAGAACCGUUUUGGGUUUUUUUUUUAAUGGUUAAAAAACAACGUCCGAGAUCUUGAAGCCCAAAGCGGAAUUAGAAAAUGCAUCCAGUUUCAUUAACGUCCCACUAACAUGUAAGGGCUUUGCUGUCCCAACACGAGGGGAUGGGAUUCUGGUUCCACCCCUCUCUAGCUUGACCUUGGACAAGUCCAAACUUUCUGAGCCUUGGCUUCUUCCUCUCUCAGAUGGGAACCAUAAAAUCCGUGGGACAGAGCUGUUGUGCUCAUUUCGGUAGAGUACUUAGUGCAUUUCUGGUCUACCGGGACAGGUACUAAGUGGCUACAAUUAUUACGCAGUCAGCUCCCAUUAGAGCAUUUGUAGAGAAUUCUUGGAUUUAUCAGAUCCUGAUUCAUGAUGAUGUUUCUUUUCAAGAGCAUUCUGUGAAUUGACAUGUUAACAGCUCUAAUGUGCACAUCAUCUCACCACCACCACAAGAAAGGCAUAACCUACCGGGUUGAAAUGUGUCUUUGGGCCCCCUUGCUACUCAUGGACUAGCAGCACUAGCCCCUGGAAGCUGGUCAGUCCUCUCAGUCCAGAUUGGCUCCUCGUUGACUGAACUUAAAAAGCUGUGAAAAUACACGAAGGGAAGAUGACGGAUACCUUGCAGGAAUCGUGGUGCAGAAGGGACCAGUAUCACUUACUAAUGCCCUAAAUAAUGAAUGACGGAUGAAUAAUACAUUCGAAAGAAAAGACCCUCCUUAGGGCCCCUUCACGGUAUCCUAACCUCUCCUAUCCGGGCACAAAUUGGAGAAGUGUUUUACGGAUUGGAUGAGGGCAUACUCAUAGGUUUUGCAUUUUGUUAUUCCUCUCAACAACUUUUAUGUUAUGGAAUUUUUUUUUUCUGUGUGUAUCAAAAAUACUUUAAAAUGAAUAUAUAUUUUUUUAAAU